CCGUGUCAUGUGAGGUCGUGAUCAAGUGAUGAUCCGAGGGAGUGAGCCAGCCAAACACGGUACAUCCAAGUCAUAGCAUGAACCUCCGACAAUUUUAGCUAGCCAAAGUAAAACACUGGUGCGUUGUAUCCUUUAUAGAUGUCUUUAAAAGAUCUUGUUCAUUGUCUAAACAAAAGCUCCCUAAGGAUCCAGGGCCAAUUCAUCUAGCACCCCA
rnacentral:lncRNA from 1 species